rnacentral:misc_RNA from 1 species
CAGCCGCGGUAAUCCAGCUCCAAUAGCGUAUAUUAGUGUUGUUGCGGUUAAAAAGCUCGUAGUUGAAUUUCGGGAUUGGGAUAUAUCGGUCGUGCCUUUAGGGGCAUGAAUCGGUGUGUGGCCAAUUCUCACCUUCUGGUGAAUUGGGAUGCUCUCGGGUGUUUCAAUGAACUAGGACUUUUACUUUGAAAAAAUUAGAGUGUUUAAAGCGGGCAUUUUUGCUUGAAUACGUUAGCAUGGAAUAAUAAAAUAGGACGAUGGUUCUAUUUUGUUGGUUUUAGGACCACGUAAUGAUUAAUAGGGAUAGUUGGGGGCAUUAGUAUUCAAUUGUCAGAGGUGAAAUUCUUGGAUUUAUUGAGGACUAACUACUGCGAAAGCAUUUGCCAAGGAUGUUUUCAUUAAUCAAGAACGAAAGUUAGGGGAUCAAAGACGAUUUAUGUACGUCGUAGUCUUAACCAUAAACUAUGCCGACUAGGAAUCAGACAAAGUUAAUUUUUUAACGACUUGUUUGGUACCUUAC